GGGUUGUGAGGUUAAGCGACUAAGCGUACACGGUGGAUGCCCUGGCAGUCAGAGGCGAUGAAGGACGUGCUAAUCUGCGAUAAGCGCCGGUAAGGUGAUAUGAACCGUUAUAACCGGCGAUUUCCGAAUGGGGAAACCCAGUGUGACUCGUCACACUAUCAUUAACUGAAUCCAUAGGUUAAUGAGGCGAACCGGGGGAACUGAAACAUCUAAGUACCCCGAGGAAAAGAAAUCAACCGAGAUUCCCCCAGUAGCGGCGAGCGAACGGGGAGGAGCCCAGAGCCUGAAUCAGCAUGUGUGUUAGUGGAAGCGUCUGGAAAGGCGCGCGAUACAGGGUGACAGCCCCGUACACAAAAGCGCACAUGCUGUGAGCUCGAUGAGUAGGGCGGGACACGUGGUAUCCUGUCUGAAUAUGGGGGGACCAUCCUCCAAGGCUAAAUACUCCUGACUGACCGAUAGUGAACCAGUACCGUGAGGGAAAGGCGAAAAGAACCCCGGCGAGGGGAGUGAAAAAGAACCUGAAACCGUGUACGUACAAGCAGUGGGAGCCCCACCACUAAGCCAGUGGUGAACUCCACAUACGCAUCCUUUGCUGAGGAUACGGUUAACGGAGCGAAAGCGAUGUUCAACCGCAAAAGAAGCAGAGGGGGCUUAGUGGUGGGGUGACUGCGUACCUUUUGUAUAAUGGGUCAGCGACUUAUAUUCUGUAGCAAGGUUAACCGAAUAGGGGAGCCGGAGGGAAACCGAGUCUUAAUUGGGCGUUAAGUUGCAGGGUAUAGACCCGAAACCCGGUGAUCUAGCCAUGGGCAGGUUGAAGGUUGGGUAACACUAACUGGAGGACCGAACCGACUAAUGUUGAAAAAUUAGCGGAUGACCUGUGGCUGGGGGUGAAAGGCCAAUCAAACCGGGAGAUAGCUGGUUCUCCCCGAAAGCUAUUUAGGUAGCGCCUCGUGAAUUCAUCUCCGGGGGUAGAGCACUGUUUCGGCUAGGGGGCCAUCCCGGCUUACCAACCCGAUGCAAACUGCGAAUACCGGAGAAUGUUAUCACGGGAGACACACGGCGGGUGCUAACGUCCGUCGUGAAGAGGGAAACAACCCAGACCGCCAGCUAAGGUCCCAAAGUCAUGGUUAAGUGGGAAACGAUGUGGGAAGGCCCAGACAGCCAGGAUGUUGGCUUAGAAGCAGCCAUCAUUUAAAGAAAGCGUAAUAGCUCACUGGUCGAGUCGGCCUGCGCGGAAGAUGUAACGGGGCUAAACCAUGCACCGAAGCUGCGGCAGCGACACUCAGGUGUUGUUGGGUAGGGGAGCGUUCUGUAAGCCUGUGAAGGUGGCCUGUGAGGGUUGCUGGAGGUAUCAGAAGUGCGAAUGCUGACAUAAGUAACGAUAAAGCGGGUGAAAAGCCCGCUCGCCGGAAGACCAAGGGUUCCUGUCCAACGUUAAUCGGGGCAGGGUGAGUCGACCCCUAAGGCGAGGCCGAAAGGCGUAGUCGAUGGGAAACGGGUUAAUAUUCCCGUACUUGGUGUUACUGCGAAGGGGGGACGGAGAAGGCUAUGUUGGCCGGGCGACGGUUGUCCCGGUUUAAGCGUGUAGGUGUGUGUUCCAGGUAAAUCCGGUUCACUUUAACACUGAGGCGUGAUGACGAGGCACUACGGUGCUGAAGCAACAAAUGCCCUGCUUCCAGGAAAAGCCUCUAAGCAUCAGGUAACAUCAAAUCGUACCCCAAACCGACACAGGUGGUCAGGUAGAGAAUACCAAGGCGCUUGAGAGAACUCGGGUGAAGGAACUAGGCAAAAUGGUGCCGUAACUUCGGGAGAAGGCACGCUGACACGUAGGUGAAGUGAUUUACUCAUGGAGCUGAAGUCAGUCGAAGAUACCAGCUGGCUGCAACUGUUUAUUAAAAACACAGCACUGUGCAAACACGAAAGUGGACGUAUACGGUGUGACGCCUGCCCGGUGCCGGAAGGUUAAUUGAUGGGGUCAGCGCAAGCGAAGCUCCUGAUCGAAGCCCCGGUAAACGGCGGCCGUAACUAUAACGGUCCUAAGGUAGCGAAAUUCCUUGUCGGGUAAGUUCCGACCUGCACGAAUGGCGUAAUGAUGGCCAGGCUGUCUCCACCCGAGACUCAGUGAAAUUGAACUCGCUGUGAAGAUGCAGUGUACCCGCGGCAAGACGGAAAGACCCCGUGAACCUUUACUAUAGCUUGACACUGAACAUUGAGCCUUGAUGUGUAGGAUAGGUGGGAGGCUUUGAAGUGUGGACGCCAGUCUGCAUGGAGCCGACCUUGAAAUACCACCCUUUAAUGUUUGAUGUUCUAACGUGGACCCGUAAUCCGGGUUGCGGACAGUGUCUGGUGGGUAGUUUGACUGGGGCGGUCUCCUCCUAAAGAGUAACGGAGGAGCACGAAGGUUGGCUAAUCCUGGUCGGACAUCAGGAGGUUAGUGCAAUGGCAUAAGCCAGCUUGACUGCGAGCGUGACGGCGCGAGCAGGUGCGAAAGCAGGUCAUAGUGAUCCGGUGGUUCUGAAUGGAAGGGCCAUCGCUCAACGGAUAAAAGGUACUCCGGGGAUAACAGGCUGAUACCGCCCAAGAGUUCAUAUCGACGGCGGUGUUUGGCACCUCGAUGUCGGCUCAUCACAUCCUGGGGCUGAAGUAGGUCCCAAGGGUAUGGCUGUUCGCCAUUUAAAGUGGUACGCGAGCUGGGUUUAGAACGUCGUGAGACAGUUCGGUCCCUAUCUGCCGUGGGCGCUGGAGAACUGAGGGGGGCUGCUCCUAGUACGAGAGGACCGGAGUGGACGCAUCACUGGUGUUCGGGUUGUCAUGCCAAUGGCACUGCCCGGUAGCUAAAUGCGGAAGAGAUAAGUGCUGAAAGCAUCUAAGCACGAAACUUGCCCCGAGAUGAGUUCUCCCUGAGACUUAGAGUCUCCUGAAGGAACGUUGAAGACGACGACGUUGAUAGGCCGGGUGUGUAAGCGCAGCGAUGCGUUGAGCUAACCGGUACUAAUGAACCGUGAGGCUUAACCUUACAACGCCGAAG
rnacentral:rRNA from 1 species